UACGAAGGGGGCUAGCGUUGCUCGGAAUCACUGGGCGUACAGGGUGCGUAGGCGGGUCUUUAAGUCGGGGGUGAAAUCCUGGAGCUCAACUCCAGAACUGCCUUCGAUACUGAAGAGCUCGAGUCCGGGAGAGGUGAGUGGAACUGCGAGUGUAGAGGUGAAAUGCGUAGAUAUGCGCAAGAACACCAGUGGCGAAGGCGGCUCACUGGCCCGGUACUGACGCUGAGGUGCGAAAGCGUGGGGAGCAAACAGG
rnacentral:rRNA from 1 species